AGUGAACGCUGGCGGCAGGCCUAACACAUGCAAGUCGAACGGCAGCACAGUAAGAGCUUGCUCUUACGGGUGGCGAGUGGCGGACGGGUGAGGAAUACAUCGGAAUCUACUUUUUCGUGGGGGAUAACGUAGGGAAACUUACGCUAAUACCGCAUAUGACCUACGGGUGAAAGCAGGGGAUCUUCGGACCUUGCGCGAUUGAAUUAGCCGAUGUCGGAUUAGCUAGUUGGCGGGGUAAAGGCCCACCAAGGCGACGAUCCGUAGCUGGUCUGAGAGGAUGAUCAGCCACACUGGAACUGAGACACGGUCCAGACUCCUACGGGAGGCAGCAGUAGGGAAUAUUGGGCAAUGGGCGCAAGCCUGACCCAGCCAUACCGCGUGGGUGAAGAAGGCCUUCGGGUUGUAAAGCCCUUUUGUUGGGAAAGAAAAGCAGCAGGUUAAUACCCCGCUGUUCUGACGGUACCCAAAGAAUAAGCACCGGCUAACUUCGUG
rnacentral:rRNA from 1 species